rnacentral:rRNA from 1 species
AACGAACGCUGGCGGCAUGCCUAACACAUGCAAGUCGAACGAAGCCUUCGGGCUUAGUGGCGCACGGGUGCGUAACACGUGGGAAUCUGCCCUUCGGUUCGGAAUAACAGUUAGAAAUGACUGCUAAUACCGGAUGAUGACGUAAGUCCAAAGAUUUAUCGCCGAAGGAUGAGCCCGCGUAGGAUUAGGUAGUUGGUAGGGUAAUGGCCUACCAAGCCGACGAUCCUUAGCUGGUCUGAGAGGAUGAUCAGCCACACUGGGACUGAGACACGGCCCAGACUCCUACGGGAGGCAGCAGUGGGGAAUAUUGGACAAUGGGCGAAAGCCUGAUCCAGCAAUGCCGCGUGAGUGAUGAAGGCCUUAGGGUUGUAAAGCUCUUUUACCUAGGGAUGAUAAUGACAGUACCUGGAGAAUAAGCUCCGGCUAACUCCGUG